UCAUAUGUUACUUCAAAUGAUUAUUUUGAAGGAAUAGCUCUUUUGUAUAGAUAUUUGAAAGAUGCGGUCAAUGCUUCGGAUCCUAGGCUUCAUGAUAUGGGUGUGAAAAUGAAAGAAAAAUUUGAUAAAUAUUAUGGAAGCUUGGAUAAAGUGAAUAUGAUGGUCUUGAUUGCGGUUGUGUUAGAUCCUAGAGCUAAGUUGAAUUAUGUGACUUUCUUGUAUGCACAAAUUUAUGAUGAUGAAUUGAAAGUUAAAGAGAUGCAUUACAAGGUGAAGGAUGCAUUGGAGCGUUUAUAUGAAUUUUAUGAGCAAUCUUCUCUUAUUUCAAGUGAUCGAAAUUUUGGUGGCCAUAGUUCGGGUGCAAGUAGUAGUGCUUCUAAUGUCGAUUCGGGUGGUAGUGAAGGAAUAAAGAAGUAUGAUGGACAAGCUUGGAAGAAAAUGUUUUUAUACUCGAAUGAACAAGGGUGUGAUGACAACAAGUCCGAGCUUGAUCAAUAUCUUCAAGAGAAAAAUGAAAAGAAUCUUGAUAUUGACCUUUUGAUGUGGUGGAAGACUAAUGACUCAAAAUAUAAGAUCCUUUCUUUGAUGGCUCGAGAUAUUUUGUCCAUUCCUAUAACUACCGUUGCUUCCGAGUCAACUUUUAGUGCAUCGGGUCGUGUUCUUGAUGGUUUUCGAAGUUCUUUUACUCCCAAAGUAGUGGAAGCUUUGAUUUGCACUCAAGAUUGGUUGAGAGUCGUUCGUGUACCGAUUAAUGUUGAGGAGUGCAUCGAGAAUGCAGAAAAAUUUGAGUUGGAUAUGGAUGGUCUUAAUGGGGAGAUUAGCGCUGGUAAAUAGAGUUUAUCACUGGGAGGAUGCCUUGCAUUGAAAAGAGCAAUAGGUCUUAUGCGGGCCAAGUGAAGGUGCUGAUGGAGAAGUUAGAAAUCAUGAUAAAGCUUGGUGAGUUCCUGAAAUAUUGACCAAGCAUGGAAACUGAAGAGCAUUGUUACGUAGGAUGAGAAGUUUAUGAUUUGGUACUCAGGCCAAGAGGAAAAUCAAUUGAGACUAAGCUCAGUUACUGAAGUUAUUCGUCGACAGAGGACUGUAAAUUUUCAGAAGCAACUUCAACCAGACAGGGAGGCACAGUCAUUUUCUCUCAUCUAUGCUGAUGGUAAACGCUCAAUUGAUCUGAUUGAGAAAGGUGACACUGGAGCAGAUAUCAUGGCACUUUUUUCUUAUUGUGCUGAUAGAUGUCGAGAUGUGACUGCCGGUUUCUGUUGUAAAUUUUCUGUAUAUAUAAAUGACAUAGCUACUGAAAAGGUUUAAAUGCCUAUUAGUUUGAUUUUGAAGCUUUAUGCCUCUUGACUCUGGCACUUCUAUAUCCUCUGAGGAGAGAGGCGAUGAGACUUAUUUUGUGUCUUACUUAAGUGCAUUGAAAUUUUUGUGUCAGCUGCUUGCUGAAUUGAUAAACUCAGAAAGGAAACACAUAAUUGCU